rnacentral:rRNA from 1 species
AACGAACGCUGGCGGCAUGCCUAACACAUGCAAGUCGAACGAGACCUUCGGGUCUAGUGGCGCACGGGUGCGUAACGCGUGGGAACCUGCCCUUAGGUUCGGAAUAACUCCCCGAAAGGGGUGCUAAUACCGGAUAAUGUCUUCGGACCAAAGAUUUAUCGCCUUUGGAUGGGCCCGCGUUGGAUUAGCUAGUUGGUAGGGUAAAAGCCUACCAAGGCGACGAUCCAUAGCUGGUCUGAGAGGAUGAUCAGCCACACUGGGACUGAGACACGGCCCAGACUCCUACGGGAGGCAGCAGUGGGGAAUAUUGGACAAUGGGCGAAAGCCUGAUCCAGCAAUGCCGCGUGAGUGAUGAAGGCCUUAGGGUUGUAAAGCGCUUUUACCCGGGAUGAUAAUGACAGUACCGGGAGAAUAAGCGCCGGCUAACUCCGUG